GACGAACGCUGGCGGCGUGCUUAACACAUGCAAGUCGAACGAAGAGCGAUGGAAGCUUGCUUCUAUCAAUCUUAGAGGCGAACGGGUGAGUAACGCGUAAUCAACCUUCCCUUCAGAGGGGGACAACAGUAGGAAACGACUGCUAAUACCGCAUACGAUCUGACCUCGGCAUCGAGGGAAGAUGAAAGGUGGCCUCUACAUGUAAGCUAUCACUGAAGGUGGGGAUUGCGUCUGAUUAGCUCGUUGGAGGGGUAGGGGCCCAUCUAGGCGAGGAUCAGUAGCCGGACUGAGAGGAUGAAUAGCCAGAGUGGGACGGAGACACGGCACAGAGGCAUAGAGAUGGCAGCAGUGGUGAAACGGGCGCAAUGGGCGAAGGUCUGACCGAGCAACGCCGCGUGAGUGAUGACGACCUUCGGGUUGUAGAGCACUGUUAACGGGGACGAAAGGGCUUUUUGCGAAGAGGAAGAGGGAUUGACGGUACCGGAAAAGAAAGCAACGGCUAACUACGUG
rnacentral:rRNA from 1 species